GAGCCUACGGGAGGCAGCAGUAGGGAAUUUUCGUCAAUGGGCGCAAGCCUGAACGAGCGAUGCCGCGUGAGUGAAGAAGGCCUUCGGGUCGUAAAGCUCUGUUGCGGGGGAAAAAAGGCAGCAUCAGGAAAUGGGUGCUGACUGAUGGUGCCCCGCCAGAAAGUCACGGCUAACUACGUGCCAGCAGCCGCGGUAAUACGUAGGUGGCGAGCGUUAUCCGGAAUGAUUGGGCGUAAAGGGAGUGUAGGCGGCUCAUCAAGUUAG
rnacentral:rRNA from 1 species